rnacentral:rRNA from 1 species
CCGGUUGAUCCUGCCGGAGGCCAUUGCUAUUGGAGUCCGAUUUAGCCAUGCUAGUCGCACGGGUUUAGACCCGUGGCGAAUAGCUCCGUAACACGUGGCCAAACUACCCUAUGGAUCGGAAUAACCUCGGGAAACUGAGGCUAAUACCGAAUACCGCUCUCAUCCUGGAACUGGAGAGAGCACGAAACGCUCCGGCGCCAUAGGAUGUGGCUGCGGCCGAUUAGGUAGACGGUGGGGUAACGGCCCACCGUGCCGAUAAUCGGUACGGGUUGUGAGAGCAAGAGCCCGGAGACGGUAUCUGAGACAAGAUACCGGGCCCUACGGGGCGCAGCAGGCGCGAAACCUUUACACUGCACGAACGUGCGAUAAGGGGACUCCAAGUGCGAGGGCAUACAGUCCUCGCUUUUCUGUACCGUAAGGUGGUACAGGAAUAAGAGCUGGGCAAGACCGGUGCCAGCCGCCGCGGUAAUACCGGCAGCUCGAGUGAUGGCCAAUAUUAUUGGGCCUAAAGCGUCCGUAGCUGGCCGAACAGGUCCAUCGGGAAAUCCGCUCGCUCAACGAGCGGACGUCCGGCGGAAACCAGUCGGCUUGGGACCGGAAGACCCGAGGGGUACGGCCGGGGUAGGAGUGAAAUCCUGUAAUCCUGGCCGGACCACCGGUGGCGAAAGCGCCUCGGGAAGACGGAUCCGACAGUGAGGGACGAAAGCUAGGGUCACGAACCGGAUUAGAUACCCGGGUAGUCCUAGCUGUAAACGAUGCUCGCUAGGUGUGGCACUGGCUACGAGCCAGUGCUGUGCCGUAGGGAAGCCGAGAAGCGAGCCGCCUGGGAAGUACGUCCGCAAGGAUGAAACUUAAAGGAAUUGGCGG